CCAAGCUUAAGUGUGCUGUAUAUUAAAUGAAAAUUCUGAUCAUAAAGAAAGUCCCCAAACUCAGGAGUAUGAAGGAUGUUCAGAAAGCCAACAAGGAAAAUCGACCACUCAAAAAUAGUACAGAUAUGCAGAUGGAAAGGAACAAAAGUCAUUAUGAUUGUGGUAACCAAGACACAGAACACAAAUAUGAUGUCCGGACCCUACUGCCGAAGACAAGACCUAUAGAACUUGCUGAAAAUGGAGGAGGUGAGCUGGCCUUCACUCCUACUUGUCUUUGGUACAGGAAGGUACUCUGUGUGUGACCAAAUGAGGAGUGUAAACAGUAGCUCAUCUCCAAAUGCUUCUGUCUACAAUGGUGUCUGCAAAAUAGGCUAAUGCAAUGGUGGCACAAACCUUCUGAGAGUAUACAAUCAAUAUCUGUAUUUGAGGUCCACCUUAUGACAUGGAGCCCAUCCUCACCACUGCUUGGGUGACCAAGAACAUAAGACUAGAUAAGACAAGGACUGGAAGAAAACCAAAUCCUUCUACUCGAUUAAAG
rnacentral:lncRNA from 1 species